AAAUAUCUUUUAAUGUGUCAUCAAGAUUUGCACUUCUUACACGUAGAUGAUCGUAUAAUCUCUUUUGACAACUCGUCAGGCUGCACAUAAGUCAAUAACUUAACCGAAUUUGUGCUACUUGUGCUAGGUGUUUUCAAACAUAUUUAGCUUACAAUACAUCCAAAAGUUCUCUUUACGAUAUUUAAGUCUUUUCUUUAUAAAAUGUAGUUGUCAUCCGUAAGUAAUGCAUUGGUUUGUCUAGUUUAGUUCAUCAACAUACCUAAACAGAACUACAUCUUCUUUUCAUUACAAGAGCAUGUAAACUUUUGAUUUCAAACGCGUUCCUAUAUUGACGACUUGCAUACGAAACACAAGGAGACAGAAAGGCAACAAGAAACAAAAAGUGCAUCAAUAGAGGAUUACUGACCAUUGGAUCAAAGGUCAUCAUAAAACUUUUUAAAAUAGCAAUAUUGGUUGUCUUUGUACUGGUCGUGCAUGUAACUGGUCAAUCAGAAUAUAAAUAUAAGCCCUCAGUUGUCCAGGUGAAAUGUACAAGAAAUAGAUCAGAAGGAUUCCAAUUGCUGUAUGGAAUAAAUUUUCAAAAGUGCAUUUACUGGAGUCAAUCAAACAAAUCCUUCGAUCAAGCUGUCUCCCAUUGUAAAGAUAAAGGUGGCUUCCUGGUCACAAUAAAGACCAGCGCAGAAAUGGCUCUGGUAUCUCAGAAUGCGAAAAACUGGGCUUUCUGGAUAGGCUGUGAUGACAAGAAGGAGAAAGGAACUUAUGUCUGGCAUGAUGAUGGGAGACCGGUUCAAGAUGUGGAAAAAACGUUACAUAUAGUAAAAUCUGUUAAAGAAAGCCCGUACGGAUCUUGCUGUGGUUUAAUAGUUUUUUAUGGUUUUAGCGAGAUUUCUCCUAGUAUCUGCUCACAAAUAAUUCCCUAUGCCUGUGAGUUAAAAUAAUCGUUUGCUUAUCAAUUCAUGAAACUAGAAAUGUGGCAUUUAAACAUUUUGGAUGUUACAGUUGAAAAAGAAAGAGGUUAAACGAAAUAUAAAUUGAAAGCAAAAAAAAAAA